rnacentral:rRNA from 1 species
GACGAACGCUGGCGGCGUGCCUAAUACAUGCAAGUAGAACGCUGAAGCUUGGUGCUUGCAGCGAGCGGAUGAGUUGCGAACGGGUGAGUAACGCGUAGGUAACCUGCCUGGUAGCGGGGGAUAACUAUUGGAAACGAUAGCUAAUACCGCAUAAUAGUAGAUGUUGCAUGACAUUUGCUUAAAAGGUGCAAUUGCAUCACUACCAGAUGGACCUGCGUUGUAUUAGCUAGUUGGUGAGGUAACGGCUCACCAAGGCAACGAUACAUAGCCGACCUGAGAGGGUGAUCGGCCACACUGGGACUGAGACACGGCCCAGACUCCUACGGGAGGCAGCAGUAGGGAAUCUUCGGCAAUGGACGGAAGUCUGACCGAGCAACGCCGCGUGAGUGAAGAAGGUUUUCGGAUCGUAAAGCUCUGUUGUAAGAGAAGAACGAGUGUGAGAGUGGAAAGUUCACACUGUGACGGUAUCUUACCAGAAAGGGACGGCUAACUACGUG